CAAGUACUCCCUCCAUCCGGAAUUACUUGUUAUCAAAAUAGAUGUGUCUAGAACUAAAAUACAUCUAGAUACAUCCAUUUCAAUGACAAGUAUUUUCGGACGGAGGGAGUACAAG
rfam:Triticum aestivum genome assembly, contig: Triticum_aestivum_CS42_TGACv1_scaffold_653492_T_7AS-0.049304_5DL-0.028876